UGUGAGAAAGCUGUCCUAUUGUGAAAAC
rnacentral:piRNA from 1 species